UACGUAGGGUGCAAGCGUUAAUCGGAAUUACUGGGCGUAAAGCGUGCGCAGGCGGUUUGUUAAGUCUGUUGUGAAAUCCCCGAGCUCAACUUGGGUAUUGCAAUGGAUACUGGCAGGCUGGAGUAUGGUAGAGGAAGGUGGAAUUCCCGGUGUAGCAGUGAAAUGCGUAGAGAUCGGGAGGAACACCAGUGGCGAAGGCGGCCUUCUGGACCAAUACUGACGCUCAUGCACGAAAGCGUGGGGAGCAAACAGG
rnacentral:rRNA from 1 species